GGUGAACGCUGGCGGCGUGCCUAAUACAUGCAAGUCGAGCGAAGGGACGAGAAGCUUGCUGCGCUGGUGGUAGCGGCGGACGGGUGAGUAACGCGUGGGGGACCUACCUAUAAGAGUGGGAUAACGGCGGGAAACCGGAGCUAAUACGGGGUAAUAUUUUGAGCCGCAUGGGUCAAAAGUGAAAGGCGGUGUUGCUGUCACUUAUAGAUGGAGCCGCGCUGCAGUAGCUAGUUGGUAAGGUAACGGCUUACGAAGGCAACGAUGCAUAGCCGACCUGAGAGGGGGAGCAGCCACACGGGCACUGAGACACGGUCCAGACUCCGACGGGAAGCAGCAGUAGGGAAUCCUCCGCAAUGGGCGAAAGCCUAAUGGAGCAACGCCGCGGAAGUGAUGAAGCACUUCGGCUCGUAAAACUCUGUUAGUAGGGAGGAACAUAUGUGUAAGUAACUGGGCACAUCUUGACGGUACCUACACAGAAAGCCACGGCUAACUACGUG
rnacentral:rRNA from 1 species